rnacentral:misc_RNA from 1 species
GUGAAUCAUCGAAUUUUUGAACGCAAAUUGCACUCUCUUCGGAGAGUAUGCCUGUUUGAGGGUCAGCCUAAAAAAAAUGGACAUAGUCGCUGUUUCGCGGUGACAUUCGUCGGAAAUUGGGUCAUCUUAAACCUUUUGAUGUAAGCGACUUAAAAUUUUCUUUUGGUUCCAUGAACGUUUCUAAGAUCUAUUUCUUUACACGUUUAAGGUAUCGAUUUUUACUAGACGUGACCAUCAUUUGGGUGCGUGUGCAUAAUAUUUAUUUAAU